rnacentral:rRNA from 1 species
UUGACGGGGCCGCACAAGCGGCGGAGCAUGCGGAUUAAUUCGAUGCAACGCGAAGAACCUUACCAAGGCUUGACAUACACCGGUAACGCCCAGAGAUGGUGCCCCUUGUGGUCGGUGUACAGGUGGUGCAUGGUUGUCGUCAGCUCGUGUCGUGAGAUGUUGGGUUAAGUCCCGCAACGAGCGCAACCCUCGUCCUAUGUUGCCAGCGGGUCAUGCCGGGGACUCAUGGGAGACUGCCGGGGUCAACUCGGAGGAAGGUGGGGAUGACGUCAAAUCAUCAUGCCCCUUAUGUCUUGGGCUUCACGCAUGCUACAAUGGCCGGUACAAAGGGCUGCGAUACCGCGAGGUGGAGCGAAUCCCAGAAAGCCGGUCUCAGUUCGGAUUGGGGUCUGCAACUCGACCCCAUGAAGUCGGAGUCGCUAGUAAUCGCAGAUCAGCAACGCUGCGGUGAAUACGUUCCCGGGCCUU